rnacentral:lncRNA from 1 species
AAAUCUCAAUCCUCUCUUACUAUAUUUCACUUUAUAGAAACCCUGGGUGAUUGUAUGCCAUAGAAGUAUCAAAAAUGGCCUCUAUUAAAAGCACUAGGGGUAGGAAGAUAUACUGGAAGAAAGUGGUCCUGGAUGUUGGCUUGUUUCCAAAAGCAAGGGAUCUGGCCAUGGAUGAAUUCAGUGAGAUGGUGGUUGGGAUCCCACGUCGCUUGUUGCACGGGGCAACCUCACCGGAGAUAACCGCCCCAUGGUGGAUAAAGAAGACUGUCAUACGGACCAGAGAGAGAACUAAAACCGAAGAAAGGAUCUCUAUGAAGACAUGCUGUGGGGACGCGGAUUGGAAGUUGCAGCAAACGGGACAAGAGACAAAGUGCGCGUGGCCAGGAAACUUGGUGGUGCCAGAGAAAGACAUUACUUCGGAAACUAAGUUAAAAAAAAAAAAAAGAAAAAGGAACUCAUGAAGAUGAGGAAGAAUUCACUGAUUUUUGUCAGAGGAAGAAAGACCUGAUUUCUUUUUUUUUUUUUUUUUUUUUUUUUUUUUUAAAGAUUUUAUUUAUUUAUUCGACAGAGAUAGAGACAGCCAGCAAGAGAGGGAACACAAGCAGGGGGAGUGGGAGAGGAAGAAGCAGGCUCAUAGCAGAAGAGCCUGAUGUGGGGCUCGAUCCCAGAACGCCGGGAUCACGCCCUGAGCUGAAGGCAGACACUUAACCGCUGUGCCACCCAGGCGCCCCAAGACCUGAUUUCUGAAGACAGCCUAUAUCCUGAACGGUUUCCUGGAAAUGACACCACUGGUUAACUUUUAUAGAGCAUUCCAAGUGUUAAACAGCAAGUUCUGAUGCUUCCAACUGCCCAAAGAGGAUCUUCCAAGCCAGUGAACAUGGAAUCCCCUGAGAACCUGAGGAGCUCUAAAUACGUAGACAAAGUUUCGUUUCUAGACUUGAAUAAUGGAAGAUCAGACCUAGACAACUGGAACUGGGUUUUUAAAACACUCCUGCCUGGGAUGCCCAACAUGACUGCACGGAGACAGCCAAAUGUCUCUCUUACGACUAAAGCCUCUGAAUUGAAACCUGGCAGCAAGGGUUCCUGGGGGUCUCAUCUGGUGCUGAAGAUGAUCGGCUCCUCCAGUCAAGGAGGAAGGAAUCCCCUCGACCCAGCACCCAGACAAACCUGUGUGAAGAGACAGAGCCCGAGAUCCAUCCUGUCCUCACACACAAUCAAGGUGUGUGCUGGAAACGGUGAGACUGAAUUUUCUAGACUUGCUCUGUUUGCUGAAAACCGAAAGAGGCCAGGAAAUUGCUUCAUGUACGUGAAGGUAUGA